rnacentral:rRNA from 1 species
AGUGAACGCUGGCGGCAGGCCUAACACAUGCAAGUCGAGCGGCAGCGGGUCCCCGCGAGGGGAUGCCGGCGAGCGGCGGACGGGUGAGGAACACAUCGGAAUCUGCCUGGUUGUGGGGGAUAAACGUAGGGAAACUUACGCUAAUACCGCAUGCGACCCUGAGUCGACGGACUUGGGGUGAAAGUGAGGGACCUUCGGGCCUCACGCGACCAGAUGAGCCGAUGUCGGAUAGCUAGUUGGCGGGGUAACGGCCCGCCAAGCGACGA